rnacentral:rRNA from 1 species
GACGAACGCUGGCGGCGUGCCUAACACAUGCAAGUCGAGCGAAGUUUUUAAAGCGGAUCCCUUCGGGGUGAAACUUUAAUUAUCUUAGCGGCGGACGGGUGAGUAACGCGUGGGCAACCUGCCUUGUACAGGGGGAUAACAGUUAGAAAUGACUGCUAAUACCGCAUAAGCGCACAGUACCGCAUGGUACGGUGUGAAAAACUCCGGUGGUACAAGAUGGGCCCGCGUCUGAUUAGGUAGUUGGCGGGGUAACGGCCCACCAAGCCGACGAUCAGUAGCCGACCUGAGAGGGUGACCGGCCACAUUGGGACUGAGACACGGCCCAA